rnacentral:rRNA from 1 species
UACGUAGGGGGCGAGCGUUGUCCGGAGUUACUGGGCGUAAAGCGCUUGUAGGCGGUCCACCAAGUUUGGGGUGACAGUUGCCGACUUAAUCGGCAAAGUGCCUCAAAGACUGGCGGACUUGAGGGCCACAGAGGGACAUGGAACUCCAGGUGUAGUGGUGAAAUGCGUAGAUAUCUGGAAGAACACCAAAGGCGAAGGCAGUGUCCUGGGUGGUCGCUGACGCUGAGAGGCGAAAGCCAGGGGAGCGGAACGGG